rnacentral:rRNA from 1 species
AUUGAACGCUGGCGGCAGGCUGAACACAUGCAAGUCGAGCGGAGCGUGGGUGCUUGCACCUCCGCUCAGCCGCGGACCGGUGAGUAAUGCUUAGGAAUCUGCCUAGUAGUGGGGGACAACAUUCCGAAAGGAACGCUAAUACCGCAUACGCCCUACGGGGCAAAGCUGGGGACUUUCGGUCCUCGCGCGAAUAGAUGAGCCUAAUGCGGAUUAGCUAGUUGGUGGGGUAAAGGGCUACCAAGGCGACGAUCUGUAGCGGGUCUGAGAGGAUGAUCCGCCACACUGAGACUGAGACACGGCCCAGACUCCUGCGGGAGGCAGCAGUGGGGAAUAUUGGACAAUGGGCGGAAGCCUGAUCCAGCCAUGCCGCGUGUGUGAAGAAGGCCUUUUGGUUGUAAAGCACUUUAAGCGAGGAGGAGGAGCUCUAGGUUAAUACCCUAGAUGCUUGGACGUUACUCGCAGAAUAAGCACCGGCUAACUCUGUGCCAGCCGCCGCAGUAACAC